rnacentral:rRNA from 1 species
UACGGGGGGGGCAAGCGUUGUUCGGAAUUACUGGGCGUAAAGGGCUUGUAGGUGGCCAACUAAGUCAGACGUGAAAUCCCUCGGCUUAACCGGGGAACUGCGUCUGAUACUGGAUGGCUUGAGUGUGGGAGAGGGAUGCGGAAUUCCAGGUGUAGCGGUGAAAUGCGUAGAUAUUAGGAAGAACACCCGUGGCUAAGGCGGCUCUCUAGUACGGUACUGACGCUGAGACGCGAAAGCGUGGGGAGCGAACAGG